rnacentral:rRNA from 1 species
ACACGACUACAUUAGAUACCCGUGUAGUCCCAGCCGUAAACGAUACUCGCUAGGUGUCGGCCACGGUGCGACCGUUGUCGGUGCCGUAGGGAAGCCGUGAAGCGAGCCACCUGGGAAGUACGGCCGCAAGGCUGAAACUUAAAGGAAUUGGCGGGGAGCACAACAACGGGUGGAGCUUGCGGUUUAAUUGGAUUCAACGCCGGAAAUCUUACCGGGACCGACAGCAACAUGAAGGCCAAGCUGAAGACUUUGCCGGAUUAGCUG